ACUCAAAUGAAUAGACGGGGGCCCGCACAAGCAGCGGAGCGUGUGGUUUAAUUCGAUGCGACGCGCAGAACCUUACCAGGGCUUGACAUCUGGUGUUCAGUAGGUGAAAGCCUAUGCCCGCGAGGGGAACCGGACAGGUGCUGCAUGGCUGUCGUCAGCUCGUGCCGUGAGGUGUUGGGUUAAGUCCCGCAACGAGCGCAACCCCCGGGUCUAGUUGGGUACUCUAGACCGACAGCCGGGACCAACCCGGAGGAAGGUGGGGAUGACGUCAAGUCAGCACGGCCCUUACGUCCUGGGCGACACACACGCUACAAUGGACGGUACAGCGUGCGUGCGAAGCCGUGAGGCGGAGCGAAUCACUGUAAAGCCGUUCGUAGUCCGGAUCGGGGGCUGCAACUCGCCCCCGUGAAGGCGGAGUUGCUAGUAACCGCGGGUCAGCACACCGCGGUGAAUGCGUUCUCGGGCCUUGUACACACCGCCCGU
rnacentral:rRNA from 1 species